AAGUCGUAACAAGGUUUCCGUAGGUGAACCUGCGGAAGGAUCAUCAAUAAUCCAAAUAAUUAAUGACCUAAAAAAUCAUUAAUUUAACCUUCUUGUGAACUGUUUAAUGUCUUUUUGAUUGGGAGUUAAAUUUUGUAAUAUCUUUGGAUAUAGCAAAACUCCCAAUUGAACAUUUUUAUAACAAACUAUUUUAUUUUUUCAAGUUGAUUAUUUUAUACAGAUUAAACUGUACUAAUAUAAAUACAACUUAUAGCGAUGGAUCUCUAGGCUCUG
rnacentral:misc_RNA from 1 species